CUCCCCUUUCCUCCUCCCUUGUCCUCUUCCAGUCUCUCUCCUCCUGAUGGCAGAGCAAAAUCCAUUAAAGCACCUGCCUCCGUCCUCUUUCUCACUUACAUAGCCUGCCUUUUCUUUGUUCCCAGAUGAGUCUUUUUAGAUCACCACAGAGCAUUGCAAACAGAGUUAACCGGGUAUUCCUCUGAAAUAGGCAGGCGGUCGUAGACUGGAGGAUCUGCCGAAUGUGACAGUGUGAUUUUCCUCCAUACUUGCAUUUCUAUUUUUAUUUUUCUUUGCAGUUUAGAUUGGAAACCUGUUGCAUCUAUGAAGGCUGACCAUAGCAAAUACAUCCUACAUUUAUCCUCUACAAGAGAAGACCAUUUUCCGGUCGAUUUUCUUCUCCACAAUUCCUUUUUUUUUCCAGUCAAUUGCUUUGCACGUUUUUUUUAAAUGUGCAACAUCUCUAUUGUGGAUUUAAUGUUCUUCUGGAACUUACUGUUGAAGUAAAUCCUCUGUGAAAAUGGCUGCUGUAAGGAUCUUCAUCAGCUUACUGCUCAUUGUAAACUAUGCCAAAGCCCAGAAAUCAAAUGAGAACUCCACCUACGUGCUGCUUAGUCCUCAGACCCUGAUUAGCUUCCUGCUGUUGGGUUUGACUGUCACUCUGUCUGGCUGUGUCUACCUAUGGAUCCUCAGAUAUGUGUGCGUUGGAUGUUGCCAACCAGUUGCAGUCGGCCCAGAAUCAGAAGCAUUGGCAGUGAUGGUGUGAACCUUUUGGAUCCUAAAGGGGUGCAACAUCACCACCUUUACCAUCACAGAAGCAAGAUAUCCUUCUCUGCACUUGUGAAUUACAGAGCUCAGCUUUUAUAUAACCAAAUGUUUAAUAUGUUAUAAGUCUUGUCACUGCCUGAUUUGGAAGGUUUUUUUGUUUUAUCAAUGAAUAGCAAAGAAAAAAGAUGCCAUGGUUUAAACUUUGGGGCGUCUAUUUUGUGCUUUCAUUGAACAGCAUCUGGAAACUAGUUUUUUAUUUUUAUUAAUUUUUUUAGCUUGUCCUGUCCAACAGCUGGGCAGACAGAAGAGAGCUGAAGGCCUGUUGUGUUGGACAAUUUUACAUUAACAACAGGGGUUAGAAAUCUUCUGACAAACCAGAGGUAUGUCUGAAUAAACCCCUUUUGUAAUC